AUGAAGAGGCUGCUGUGCUCUCUGCUGGGGCUUCUGUGCACCCAGGUUUGCUGGGUGAAAGGGCAGCAAGUGGAGCAGAGACCUGCGACCUUGGUAAUGCAGGAGGGAGAGAGUGCAACACUGCAGUGCAACUUCUCCACCUCUGCAAACCGAAUGCAGUGGUUUCACCAAAGUCCUGGAGGACACCUCAUCAGCCUGUUUUACAAUCCUUCUGAAACAAAGCAGAGUGGAAGACUGACAUCCACGACAGCCCCUGUGGAGCAUCGCAGCUCUUUGUACAUUUCCUCCUCCCAGAGCACAGACUCAGGCACUUAUCUCUGUGCUGGGGUACACAGUGCUCCCCACACACCUGCAGCCUGUACGCAAACAUUCUGCUGGGUGGAUGUGGGCCUUUUCACUCACAAGAAAUUAGGAAGCCACUGCAGAAUCCCUGCCUGUUUUAAUAAGGGGAAGAGAGAGGAAGGUUGGUACUGGGAGGGGGAGAGUUGA